UACGGGGGGGGCAAGCGUUGUUCGGAAUUACUGGGCGUAAAGGGCGCGUAGGCGGCCAUGCGCGUCUUCCGUGAAAUCCCUCGGCUUAACUGAGGACGUGCGGAAGAAACUGCAAGGCUCGAGUCCGGGAGAGGAGGGUGGAAUUCCCAGUGUAGCGGUGAAAUGCGUAGAUAUUGGGAGGAACACCGGUGGCGAAGGCGGCCCUCUGGACCGGUACUGACGCUGAUGCGCGAAAGCGUGGGUAGCAAACGGG
rnacentral:rRNA from 1 species